rnacentral:rRNA from 1 species
UACGUAGGUGGCAAGCGUUAUCCGGAUUUACUGGGUGUAAAGGGCGUGUAGCCGGGCUGACAAGUCAGAUGUGAAAUCCGGGGGCUCAACCCCCGAACUGCAUUUGAAACUGUUGGUCUUGAGUAUCGGAGAGGCAGGCGGAAUUCCUAGUGUAGCGGUCAAAUGCGUAGAUAUUAGGAGGAACACCAGUGGCGAAGGCGGCCUGCUGGACGACAACUGACGGUGAGGCGCGAAAGCGUGGGGAGCAAACAGG